CCCCGGCACACCCCCCCGAGGCCGGGUUACAGACGCCCCGCGCUAAUCCCCCCCCAGCGCGGGGCGUCGCUA
rfam:Corynebacterium sphenisci DSM 44792, complete genome.